rnacentral:rRNA from 1 species
UACGAAGGGGGCUAGCGUUGUUCGGAAUCACUGGGCGUAAAGGGCGCGUAGGCGGCCGAUCAAGUCGGGGGGGAAAGCCUGUGGCUCAACCACAGAAUUGCCUUCGAUACUGUUUGGCUUAAGACCGGAAGAGGUUAGUGGAACUGCGAGUGUAGAGGUGAAAUUCGUAGAUAUUCGCAAGAACACCAGUGGCGAAGGCGGCUGACUGGUCCGGUUCUGACGCUGAGGCGCGAAAGCGUGGGGAGCAAACAGG